rnacentral:rRNA from 1 species
AUGGAAAAUCAAAACCACACAGUGGCCAUGGAUGCCAAGCUGAUGGUGUCCACACACGGUGGCCAUGUCAACAUGUUGAAGGAUGUGCUGAACAAGGAGGAUGCCAUGGCGACGAUGCUUCCCAGUGAGGACCAAUCUGGUGCCGCUGCCAUCAAUCCCCUGCUGCUUCUGUCAGCGCGCAGGGGCUCCUGGGAGGCCCUGAAUGCCCUUCUCCAGAGGGAAGACGCAAGGGAUCCACCAAUGAUGAUUCCCACUCUUGAAUUUCUUGAGUUGGUAGCGGGAGGCAGCGGCGCCCAGGGAAGAAGUGCGGCGUCUGCUGGUCGUGAUGUAGAAGAGGGCGUUGACCAGCAGCCUGCUGCUUCGCCUGCAGCUGGAGCACUCCUCAAGGGCGUCACCGCCGACGGGGAUACCGCACUACAUGCGGUCGCCGGCAACGGCGAUUGCCAGAAUUUCUUGAAGUAUGCCGGCAUCGUCUACGACAGGGACAGGGCGCUCCUGUUUGUGCAGAAUCACAAGGGUGACACACCCUUGCAUUGCGCUGCCCGAGCUGGGAACUCCAAGAUGGUUUCUCGUCUCAUUGAUCUAGCUGCGUGUGAGGGCGACGGCAGGAAGCUGGAGCUCUUGAGGAUGGAAAACAAGCGUCAGGAGACGGCCCUGCACGAGGCUGUCCGAUUUGAAGACGGUGGAAUUCUGGGUCACAAGGAGAGAUUAUUGCUUGAUGCCGCCGACCCCACCGGAGAAGAAAAGAAUAAGCGUGGCAAGGCAGAGACAGAGGGUGCCCUAAAUGAAGACGGUAAAAGUCCGGUCGCCGCACCGGAAGAACAGGCUAUUGUCAAGCUGCUGAUGGGCGCUGAUCGCGAAUUGGCUAAUUAUCCUGCAGGCGGCAUUUCACCACUGUACCUAGCCGUCUUGCUGGAGAAGGGUACAAUUGCACUGACUUUACACGCAAUGAGUGGUGGCAAUCUCUCCUAUUCCGGAGCAGACGGACAAAAUGCCUUGCAUCUUAGUAUUCUUCGAGAUACAGGUACCCGCUAA